UACGAGUGCCCCGAGUGUUAUCCGGAAUCAUUGGGCGUAAAGGGUGUGUAGGCGGUCUUAUUAGUCCUCUGUUAAAUUCUUCGGCUCAACCGGGGGCAUGCAGGGGAAACGGUAAGACUUGAGGGUGCGAGAGGUGUACGGAACUCAUAGUGUAGGGGUGAAAUCCGUUGAUAUUAUGGGGAACACCAAAAGCGAAGGCAGUACACUGGCGCAUUCCUGACGCUGAGACACGAAAGCGUGGGGAUCGAACGGG
rnacentral:misc_RNA from 1 species